UGAUACAUCACGUUCGUAUCAAUGCUUUUAAUAGGCCCAAAGCUCAGAAGGGGAGGUGGAAAUUAUUGGUCGCCAAUCUCCAUAUGUAGGUUUGGAAGUUUUUUUUUCAUGUUUUUUUUCUAAUACGACUUACUGUGUAUUGGUCAUUUUGCAGACCCUCUCGCGCACCGCCAUCCGAUAACCCCCGUAGUGUAAUGUCAGGACUGCACCCCCACUGUGGUCUGUGAACAGUUCACUUGAGUGCUUCCUGCUGUGCACACAUAACACUGUAUUGUACACACGGAAGCACUAUGCAUAAUGAAUUGUGCUUUCAGACUUGAUCACAACUUGAAUCUCUUUUUCCAGUGACUCCUCAGAAGGCUUUGAUCAAACCAACCAACCUGACAGUUACCUUCAAGGUCCGUGGCAGUAACCUGACUGCAGUCUUCAACUGGCAUGUGCCCGCCGGACCAUCUCGGCGUCAAUUGACUGGUUACCAGGUGACCCUGGUGGAGGUCACGCCAACCAAUCGACUCAGAGAUGACAACAUCUCCCAUUCGCAGAUCUUAACCCCGGACGUUAACGUUCUGGCAGUUUCGGACAUACGCCCCGCCAGUGUCUACCGGUUGGAUAUCCGGGCUAUCGCUGCAGACGGCGAAGGUCCAGCCAUCAGCAGAACCUUCCAGACUCCAGAAUUCCAACAUGUGCUAAGGUCUAGGAAAUACGAUUGAUAAUCAAGCAAGAUGAGGAAUAGUGCUGCAAUUAGUCAGUCGCUCAGAGGAGCUGACCUGACAGCUAUUUUGGGAUGCGAAAGCAUUCAAGGUGGUGUUAAGCCU